UUUCUACCAAAAUUUUAACAUAUUUUGUUAGAUUUAUGUAUGAAUUGUUCAGUAAUCUCUAUUUAUAUUUUUUUUUCAACUUUGUAGAACUAAGGCUUAAAUUCAACCAAAAGAGUCAAUUCUAGUUCUACCCAUUUCCAUGCCUAGUUGAGUUUGUAUUUUGCUUCCUAUGACCACUGCUAUAGGAGCUCUGUGGUUUUGUCUUUCAGUGGUUUGACUUCUUCUUCCUUUUUCAAAUUUUUGGAAUAAUUAGUAUAAUUUGUGUAAAAUAACGAAAGAAAGUUAGGAAAUUAAACUGUCGCUGGUUGUGAAAUUGUUGAUAUAGAUGGACAACCGUAUCUAUAAAUAGAUUGGCUACCCAAGUGAACUACAAAUCAUCUUAUUACUACAUUUAGUUAAGUGGUAAAGGAGGAAGGCAAGAAAAAGGGAAGAUAAAGUAAUAGACAACAAGUUUAUUUUAUUCUUUAGUUCGUUUCAAGUGGUUGAAUGAAAUAAAAUAAAUUGUGAAGGCUACUAUAUGACUUGGGUGUGUGUAUGUCUUUUCGAUAAGUUGGACCUGUGUGCAGUGUGUAUACAUACACGAAUUUGUUCUAAAAAGAAUUCUUUUUAGUUCGACUCGUAUCCCUCUCAUGACACAAAAUCUUACUUAUAUUGUUUAAGUAAACAAUCGAACUUUUAACAUGCAAUGUCAGUUUCUUUCAUAUUUAGUAUUAUUUCAUUAUGUUGAUUCUAUUCUAUAAAUUCAUUUUGCAUUGGAUUCUCAAAAAAUGACUGUCCAGCAGCUGAAAUUAAGCCCACCAAAGAGAUGUCAUUGACUUCAAGGAACUUAAGUUAGUUGAUCACAUUCUUGCUUCUCUGCAACGGAAGAUGAAUUUCCUGAAUGCACUGCUGCAAUUUUCAGUGGGGUUUUGCCUGUAGUGUAAGCCAUUUGGUCAUCAGCUCCGAGUCAACUUCCAGAAGGACCUUCAUGUAACCAUGUUGAGUGCACCAUUAGAGCCCCUGAAUUGCAGCUUGUAGUUCUACUUGGUUGUUAGUUCCUGUGCCAAGUGGUACUGCAAAGGCAUAAAUCAUCCUGCCCUGAGAAUCCCUCAAGAUACCUCCUCCAAUUUUUCCGGGGUUACCUAAGACAUUUCCAUCAGUAUUCAGUUUGUAGAUGUUGUUGGAAGGUUUACUUCACACAACUUUACUGAUUUUCAUCUCUUGACUACACCUCUCCACCAUAGUGAUCAGGUCCUCCAACUGUUAGGACAUUGCAGGUAUGGGAAAACAGUGUGUAGUAGAAGAGUAAGGUCUUGGUACACCAAAUAUUUAACCCUCUUGCUGCUCGACUGUUUGUUCCCAUAUUUUGCCGAGCACCUAUUCUUCCAUGUAUUCCAACAAAUACAGAUAGGAAGUGCCUGGAGAACAGUUUUAAGUACUUCAUUGUGAGCUUUCACAAACCACCAUCUCAUCAGAGUACUUUUGAGGGGAGUCUGGCUAUGUUGAUCCCUAAGUCUGCUGAAAAAUAUUGCCAUAUAUGAUUGGCAAGGUGACCUGAUACAAAGAUAUGGUCAAUGUUGUCCCAACCUUUUCUGAUACAGCAAAAGCACCAGCAAAUGCACCUGGCAGGUUCAACUCCAAAAGAAAUGAGUUUAUCAUUGGUAGAUGGCGAGAUCUGAAUAGGAGACCAGGAAAUUAAAAUUUGUAGAGCUGAUGAAUAAGCACUUCGCUUCAAGUGUAGUUCCUAAAGAUGAAAGUAUCAACUAUUCAUUAUGGUGUAAUUGACUUUGUUGUAGUAGAGAAGCUUGGCCUAGAAAAUACAAGUUCUCGCUCGGCUAUGUGGUUUUCUUCAGGAGAAUGGUGAUGCAAUUGACGAUGGUGGCAGAAAGUUAAUUUGAUCUAUUAAUGCGCAUGAUGAAGACUUUUGAAUAAUUAGGAUGUCUAUUAAUUUUAAAGUUCAUUGUUAGUGGGAAUUUUGAUACAUAUAUUUUAUUAGUAUGUUUAGUACAGGACCAAGUGAAGUCAAAUUGCAAGUAUAUAUAAAUUUGAUUUAUUUUUUUGA